CUCCCCUCCUUCCCUCUUCCACCUUUCUGCUGUCUUUUCUCACUUCUUUCUCAAGUGACAGUCGCUGUGCUGAGGCUGUAAAGCUAAAUACGUCUCGCUCCUUUCCUUCCAGAAGCAUAGCUUACACAGGGGCAGACAAAUACACCACGGUGAGGAAGCCGCAGCAGUGCUGACCUGGCCGAAAGUUGAGCUCACACACCCUACAGCAAAAACGACUAAAAAAAAAGAAAUAAAGGAAAAACACCUUAUAUAAGAUUGGCCCAGCUCAUGGUUUGAUGGGUAAGGCAGCUGGAUUCCACACGACCAACUGUGUGGUUCAAAUCCUGGAUCUAGCGGCUUGAAGAAAAAAACAGAGCACAUAUACACGCAUGCCCCAAAUCCCAAAUGGAGGAGAAACGAGAGAGGGAUAAUAGCUGACCAUCCCCCCGUCCUUGUCUCUUUUGUCUCUGUCUGGGAAAAAUAAAUAAAUACAUUUAAUUAAAACAGAAGUCUGCAAAGCAGAACAUCAUUAAGGACACUAGGAAGAUAUCCACCUAUUCCGACUGGUGUGGAAGUUCUAGGCCUGUCUGAGGCAACUUCACCUGAGUACUGAGAAACGGAGCAUCAAUUAUCCCAAGAUUACUUCUCUAUUUUCUAACAACA